rnacentral:lncRNA from 1 species
AAUUUUGGGUUUUGAAACAUUAGGUCCAGUUGAUGCAUUCAUGCAUAUGUAUAUUUUUUUUAUUUUUUUUUAUUUUUGCUUUCGAUCGGAUAAUUUAGAAAUGAAAGAGAAUUAUAGUAGGAUCCAAAGCUUUUAUUGUUGUAUCCUCUGUGUUAAUUUCAUUCAAUUUACUAUAAAUGUUUAUUUCUUCUACAUGACUACAUAUGUAUAUCAACCGCAAAUUAAU